AUGGAGGGCCUGAACAAAGCUAAGUGCAUGAAUAGGAAGAGGGGCGACCAGUACACGCAGGGUCCGAGGUUGGACAAGUUCAAGGAGAUGCCGGUGAAGAAGGCUGAAGAGCAGAGAGUGGAGUUUGACGGCGCCAAGGGCGAGUGGAAGUUCAGGGUGAAGCACUUCAGCUCCUACGGGUUUGGUGAAGCUGAAGCCGACCUGGGCUGCCGAUUCCUUGUAGCUUUAUCGAUAGGUGCCUGGUCGGUUGUGAUGCUUUCUCUGAAUGAUGCUAUGAGCUCCUUCCCAUGUUUUUCUCUGUACAUAUCUUUUCUUCUUGCAGAAUGCACAAAAAUUACAUUCUGGCACCAAUCUAGCACGUGCGUGGAUGGAUAA
rnacentral:rRNA from 1 species